CAACAAAGUACAACAAACCACAUUCCAGCCAAUAACAAGAUAGUUGGGGGAGGGGGUGGGGGUUAGUGCCAGUCAUUAAUGGUG